rnacentral:rRNA from 1 species
GUAGUCAUAUGCUUGUCUCAAAGAUUAAGCCAUGCAUGUCUAAGUACAAGCCUCAAAAUGGUGAAACCGCGAAUGGCUCAUUAAAUCAGUUAUGGUUCCUUAGAUCGUGAAAAGUUACUUGGAUAACUGUGGUAAUUCUAGAGCUAAUACAUGCCUGAAAGCUCUCGCCUUCGGGUGGGAGCGCUUUUAUUAGAUCAAGACCAAUCGGCCAGCAAUGGUCGUCAAUUUGGUGACUCUGGAUAACUUUGAGCUGAUCGCAUGGCCUCGAGCCGGCGACGUAUCUUUCAAAUGUCUGCCCUAUCAACUUUCGAUGGUACGUGAUAUGCCUACCAUGGUUGCAACGGGUAACGGGGAAU